GAAAGAGGUAACGUAAGGUCUCUCUGUUAUCAGACCCAUGCUUGCUGGUUUUGUAUUGGGAAUGACCUGUAACAUGGUCAUGAUGGCUGAAGGAGCAGGAAGCAACAUCUACUCUCAGCCUUAUCCCAAAUUUCGAGAUUGGAAGGUAUAGAUAAUAACAUAAUAAAAAGGGGAAGAUUCAUGAUAGGAGGGUUCUAUUUUUUUUACUACAGAGGGAGAAGGCACUAGAACUCAGAGGGCAAGAGAAAUCGGUGACGACAAAAGGAACAUCAUUGAGAAGAAACUGCCGGGGGUAUUAGAAAGGAUCCACUAAAGGUACACUUUGGAACACUUAGAUGCAAAAUUCUGAGUUCUAUCCAAGAACUCUGAUGCACCACUUGACAGCAAGUAGGUACCGCUAGGCGAUGCGUGGAGCGCAACAAGGUGUGAAUUUUGUGUUGGUGUUGCGUGAUGGGAUGGGAAUAGAUGGAAUGUGUUAGGUGUUGUUUGAGGAGCAUAUGUGAUUCUAGGCGAGGAUGGCGAUGCGUAGAGAUGGAGCAGGGAUAACUAUCGAGAUUUUAUUUUAGAAAUUGUUCUUGGUUAUCUUGGAAUUUCCUUUUAUUUGGGCUUUGGAUUAUGGAUUGUAAUAAAGUAUUUAUGAAGUAUUGUUAUGUUACCACUAUUAAAGUUUUAAAUUUUCCCGCACUUAGGAAUAA